GUCAGUCACCCCCAGGAGCUGCCCAUCUUUGCUCAAUCCCCAGGUGGGGAAAUCUUCGUUGAGCAAUCACUGAUGUCUCUGGAAACACAUGGCUGACAACCAAUGGAGUCAGGAUUUGAACCCAGCAGUCAGCAGCUUUCCCCAACUCCUGACAGGCCCUGCUCUACAACCUGACAAAGCAGCUCCCACAACCUGCCGUAGAGUGUGCUGACCGAGAUACAAGCGGAGAUCCAGGACACUGGGGCUCAUGAUCCUAGCCCCUUCCCUUCCCGAGGAGACUGCUAAGCCCAUCAACAGUCUCUCGGUCCCCUCAUCUACAACAUCCAAAUGGGCUGGCAUUAGAUGAGGCCCUGAUUGUUGCUUACACAAGUUCUGCUGGGCCGUGAGGCCACCACAGACCCCACAUGUGACCCAAUCUGUACAAGAAAAGCUGGACAAGUGUACGAGGGAAGUCCUUCAAAAGCUGCUGAAUACCCAGCUCCAAUGGCGGUCACCGGGGAGAGAUCCAAGUUCAAGUCCAGUGCAGUGACUGAAGUCCCCUCCAUGUAAGGUCAGUUGACAGCCAUUGAAACGGACCCAUCCUCUUCACUAAAUGCUAUCUGCCACUCAAGCCAUGGGGUCUCAUGCCUUUGGGACAAGCUGUUGCUUUCUGUGCCCUCCUAUACUAAAAUACAAGUCCUACUGGCAAAAGAAGGAGACCCAAGUCAGCAGAGGGUUCCUGGUGCCUACAGACAGCAAGGUAUGAAAAAAGGAGGUGAGCUUAGCCAGCAAAUGGAGCCAUCAAAUUCAGCAGUGUUGUGACCUGAAAUGAUGACACUAGGGACAAUGACCUUCCCC
rnacentral:lncRNA from 1 species